AGACCCGAAACCCGGUGAUCUAGCCAUGGGCAGGUUGAAGGUUGGGUAACACUAACUGGAGGACCGAACCGACUAAUGUUGAAAAAUUAGCGGAUGACCUGUGGCUGGGGGUGAAAGGCCAAUCAAACCGGGAGAUAGCUGGUUCUCCCCGAAAGCUAUUUAGGUAGCGCCUCGUGAAUUCAUCUCCGGGGGUAGAGCACUGUUUCGGCUAGGGGGCCAUCCCGGCUUACCAACCCGAUGCAAACUGCGAAUACCGGAGAAUGUUAUCACGGGAGACACACGGCGGGUGCUAACGUCCGUCGUGAAGAGGGAAACAACCCAGACCGCCAGCUAAGGUCCCAAAGUCAUGGUUAAGUGGGAAACGAUGUGGGAAGGCCCAGACAGCCAGGAUGUUGGCUUAGAAGCAGCCAUCAUUUAAAGAAAGCGUAAUAGCUCACUGGUCGAGUCGGCCUGCGCGGAAGAUGUAACGGGGCUAAACCAUGCACCGAAGCUGCGGCAGCGACACUCAGGUGUUGUUGGGUAGGGGAGCGUUCUGUAAGCCUGUGAAGGUGGCCUGUGAGGGUUGCUGGAGGUAUCAGAAGUGCGAAUGCUGACAUAAGUAACGAUAAAGCGGGUGAAAAGCCCGCUCGCCGGAAGACCAAGGGUUCCUGUCCAACGUUAAUCGGGGCAGGGUGAGUCGACCCCUAAGGCGAGGCCGAAAGGCGUAGUCGAUGGGAAACGGGUUAAUAUUCCCGUACUUGGUGUUACUGCGAAGGGGGGACGGAGAAGGCUAUGUUGGCCGGGCGACGGUUGUCCCGGUUUAAGCGUGUAGGCUGGUUUUCCAGGCAAAUCCGGAAAAUCAAGGCUGAGGCGUGACGACGAGGCACUACGGUGCUGAAGCAACAAAUGCCCUGCUUCCAGGAAAAGCCUCUAAGCAUCAGGUAACAUCAAAUCGUACCCCAAACCGACACAGGUGGUCAGGUAGAGAAUACCAAGGCGCUUGAGAGAACUCGGGUGAAGGAACUAGGCAAAAUGGUGCCGUAACU
rnacentral:rRNA from 2 species